rnacentral:tRNA from 1 species
AAGAGAGGUCUGGGACAAAAAAAACUGCUAAUUUUUUUAACCGUGGUUCAAAUCCAUGGCUCACUU